CUUAGUUAUGGACUCUUAUUUUGAUGGGUGUGGUGGUGUCCUGUUGAUUCUGGGUUCUCCUCUCCCUGGCAUUUCCAUUUUCUUUUCUAUUUGUGUUCAGGUAGGAUAAAACUGUAUUGUCAGACACUACUUUUCCAUACAACCUAUAGUUAAUUAAAGAUGUUCAUGUAUCAUUUUGCCCCGCAGGGACUCAGUUAUAAUGUGUAGAUUGAGGUUGGGGCAUUGUGCGUUAAAUUAUUCUUUGUGGAUUGUAGGAAAGCAUGUUUCUGGAUUGUGUGAAUGUGGGAGUCUUGAGAUGGUAGGGCAUGUUUUCCUAAAAUGCAGAAAGUAUAGGGCAGAAAGAAAUAUAUUAUUUUUUAAACUGGCAGGACUUUGAGUUAAGGCUUUUUCUCUUUUAUCUUUUUUUGGUCACAGUGAUGAGCAUAAACUGAUCUCCAAGGCAGUUCUUCAGUUUUUGCAUGAUACAGGACUGUAUGUAAGAAUUUAGUUCAAACUUUGACCUGUGGAGGGCAGUAAUACGCUCAGCAGUGUUAACACUGACGGAAUUCUACAAGAAGAAGAAGAAGAAGACUAUUGACGGUGUAUUGCUGUAAAUGGCUCUCGAGGCUAAUCUACGCUAUUAAUAGUUUGAUUAGAGUGGUGCUGGUGGCAUCGGCAUUGUGGCACGUUUGUGGCGGAGUUCGCUUGCAGUAAUAGCGACAAAAGCAGGUGUGUGAAUGCUAGCCGGUACAUUGAGCCACGGCACUUGUUGGAGUAACCAUAUAGCUCUGAGUUUGGUCUUCGUUCAACCCUAAUCGAGCCAGUCAGGACUCGGUGUGGAGCAGGAGAGGCUAGCCGCUUUCCUUCUGUGGUGUGUGCUUCACAGGGUGCCAUGUGUGUUAGAAUAAUCUCUUUACAGUGUGUGGUGUUUGAUAUUGUGUGAAUUUAGGUGGGUUCAGAUGACCUCCCGAGUUGCAGCCGGGCUGCCCUGUUCCCGCUAAGCCUGGCCCUGGAGAAUUCUUUUUAUAACCUUGUGGGUGUGUUACAUGGGAGAGAGGAUUUUAUUGAUGCUCUUAUAAUAAAGUAUAUAUUUUUUUGUAUUGAUAUUUGCGUCUCACUACAUCUUAUUUCUUGCCCUCAAUUGGUAAAACCUGUGUGUCCUUAUUGGGAGUAUUUCCCUGGCGCUCUACAAGGGUGGUGUAGUCGGAUGAAACUAAUUGUGAUUUAGGGUCUUUUAAACCUAUGUGUGUCACGAUAUACUGCAAAUGGAUCCGAACGUCUCUGACUCUGCAUCACAAUGUGAGUGCCACAUUUUCAGUCAGGCCACGGAGGCAUAGUGCUGCGACCAGCUGACGUAGUCAGCUGUCAAAUCGCUCCAAUCACUACCAUUCUCCUAUUAGACGCGGGACAUAUAUACGUGGCACUACUGCUCGGUAAGUAUGCUCAAACUGCUCGCAACCCUCCCUCCCUCCCCAUUAUAGCAUGAGCAUAUUACUGUG